UGCCAGACUCCUACGGGAGGCAGCAGUGAGGAAUAUUGGUCAAUGGGCGGAAGCCUGAACCAGCCAAGUCGCGUGAGGGAAUAAGGCCCUACGGGUCGUAAACCUCUUUUGCCGGGGAGCAAGGGCGGGGACGUGUCCCGGCCCGGAGAGUACCCGGAGAAAAAGCAUCGGCUAACUCCGUGCCAGCAGCCGCGGUAAUACGGAGGAUCCGAGCGUUAUCCGGAUUCAUUGGGUUUAAAGGGUGCGUAGGUUGUUUUAUAAGUUAGCGGUGAAAUACCGAUGCUCAACAUCGGGGCUGCCGCUAAUACUGUAGGACUAGAGAUCGGAUGCAGCAGGCGGAAUGUGUAGUGUAGCGGUGAAAUGCAUAGAUAUUACACAGAACACCGAUUGCGAAGGCAGCUUGCUAGGCCGGAUCUGACACUGAUGCACGAAAGCGUGGGGAUCGAACAGGAUUAGAUACCCGAGUAU
rnacentral:rRNA from 1 species